AUGGGAUGGCAACUGUCAUAUAUGAUGGACAGAGAGGACUUCUGCCAGUGUCCCUGCUCGAACAAGCAGAUGUCAAGACGUCCAAAGGCAAAAAGGAGAAUAGAGUUCCCAGUGGGAUUCCUCUACCACCUGGCCUCAAGCCACCCACUCGCCCAAAGGCCCAAACCAGCUCUGGAGCUCCCCCUCGGGGUAAAAAUCAAUCAUAUUCCUCCUGGUUCUCUACUUUCUCUGAAAUCCUCCUGCCUCAAUAGAGGAAGACCUCUCCACCUUCUUUCCUCUGAUCUGCUCUCCCUCUAUUAUAACCAAUCCAGGCUCAGAGCAAUAUCUCUUAAGUGUACUGUCUCGCACUGUGGAUUCAUCUUUAGUUGCAUAUUAUUUUGGCGUUGCUUGAAUUUGAGUUUACUGUUGAAUUCAGUUUGCUUUGAAAUGUUUUUGAAGUACAGUGUGGAUACCUUUGGGUGCUUAUUGCCUCUAUGUUUGCCAAAGGGCACAAAGGCAGACAUGCCCUCAAAAAUGCCCAGAAUGUACACUAUUUUCUCCUUACAAUCCCACAAUGCAUUGUGUAACAUUUUAUACAUUAAUAAAAGAAAUUCUCAAUUUUCUGCUCACUGUAGAGUAACCGACCAGGGAUUAUUGCAGAAAAUCCAGAGGAGGUUUUUUUAA
rnacentral:lncRNA from 1 species